rnacentral:rRNA from 1 species
UACGAAGGGGGCUAGCGUUGUUCGGAAUUACUGGGCGUAAAGCGCACGUAGGCGGCUUUGCAAGUCAGAGGUGAAAGCCCGGGGCUCAACCCCGGAAUUGCCUUUGAGACUGCAUCGCUAGAAUUGUGGAGAGGUAAGUGGAAUUCCGAGUGUAGAGGUGAAAUUCGUAGAUAUUCGGAAGAACACCAGUGGCGAAGGCGACUUACUGGACACAUAUUGACGCUGAGGUGGCGAAAGCGUGGGGAGCAAACAGG